CUGCUUUCACCUUUCUUUAUGUCUCUGUUUGUCUCACAUUUAAAAUGAGUUAUCAAAAUUCAUCAGAAAAUGAAACAAAUCUCGGACGCCUAGAUCUGGAAGCCAUCAAGCAUCUGAACCCAAAACUACGACAAAGGUUCACCGGGAUGCCGCUACAAGUGAACGGCAAUGACGGACGGCAGAGAAGAAGGGACAACAAUCAUUGAGAUAUUAAAAUAUCAACUUUUGUGAGAGAAUACUCCUAGAAAGGAGACAAAAAUGAGAGGAAUUGUAGCGACAGUUACGUGAAUGCUAAUGUUUUGAAGUCCAGAAAGUAUCUUCAAAAACAAGGAUAUUCUCAACGACCAGGGUUGUAUUGUAGCAACACUUACGUGAAUGCUCAGUUCAUAUGUUAAGAAAAACUUUGACAUGUUUGUAAUUUUCUUCAGAUACAUUUGGAGUUUGAUGUUGAACAAGUAUUCAUGUGAUUUAUGUUUUGUUUGUUAUAAACUCGAGUUUAAUACAGGUACAAGCAAUUCUUAGGAUUAGUGAUCUCUCAAUAUUGGGAGAAAACCAGUUGUGAAACCAGAAGCAAGAAGAAAGGAGAAGAAGUAUAUUGUGGUAGAGGAAGGCACAUAUCUCCGUACGACCGUUCGGAGCAUGGAUUGUGGUUUACUUAGCUUCUACAGCCAGCAACAAGGAAAGGAACUAGCGAGAAGUGUGAGACUAUGACGGAGUGGUGGGCUUAUGGAGGAUGUGAUGAGUCGGCGGAACUCAACGGUAUUGCUGUGGAGAUGAAAACCAUGGAUCUCAAGCUUUAUUAUGAGCAGAUCACAUGGAGACCAGAUAAAGGUACUCUUUAUGAAAGAGAAUCACCGCAGACAGUGUCGCUGAUGUAAGUAAACAUCUCUGUUUUUCAUUAAUAUAUCAUAGAUGCUUAAAGUAACUAAUUAAGUUAAUACAUAAAAAGGUAAAUGCUUAAUGUGGACAUGAGUUCUUUUUUUUUUUAAUAUAGUGUGGUGAAAUAUGUGCUUAAUCAUAUCACAUUGAUUAAGUAUAUCAAGUGUCUACAUACAAAUAUCUCUAUAUUCUUUGACCAUCAAAGUCAAAUUUCUUGGUGGAUUGUCUUUUAGCGCUUGAUGUUGCUGUUGCAAUUUUCAGGUUUUAAGAGUUCUAUGUGAAGUUCUAUAUUUCCAAAAUGUGAUGCAAGUUGGUUUUGGCUACGGUCUGCAAUGUACGUGCAUAUGAUGAAGGGAAAUUCAAUUUCGAGCUUGAGGUUUGAAUGAUAAGUGUCUGCAUUGAGCUUUAAUUUUGAGCACCAGUCAGACACUAACACACUUCUGUGCAAGGUCUUUAUCAAGAUAUCAGUAAGAGAGGAAUCAAAAUAGAGAACAAGGCAGUAUAAUCUAGGAUGCUGAAAAGUAUCUUUCUGAUGUUGUUCUCUUUCUUCUCUUAAUAUGUUAGCCAGAUAAUUCCGUGCUAAUAUCGUAUGAUGAGAACAUUUA